UUCUUUGUCCAGAGACACAGAGCUGUACCUGGGCUAAUCUUGGGGAAAAGCUUUUAAUUGUCGCUGUUGAUUCUGUGCUGUUUUAUUGGCUGUAGGUCGCCCCUUUAUUAAGAAAGGAACGAGUGAACGAAAGCGAGCAGGAUCGGAUCUGCUUAACCUACGAUUCCGCUCCGAUCAUUAGUGUCACCCAAAAGAACAGAUACUUAAAGACGUGGGUUACGUUAAACCGCGGUUUAAUCGUGACAUUUCAAAUAAUAGCUUAAUGAACAUAGAACUCAUCAACCGUAAAAUCAGAGUUUGGAAGCCAGGACGAGUUAUAUUGAACCAGAAUGCGUUUGGUUUGGGUCGAGGAAGUCACGUUGAGAGUGCUUGAUGUGGGCGAAAGUCCAUCCGAACUGUCAGAACGAGGCCAGUUGCGCGGGACCGAUAAGAAUGCUUUGAAAACGGCCUCUCUUCAUCACGGUGAUGAGGGAUGAGGGAAGGGCUUUCAUUAUUUAGUACGUGCUGUCCGUGACGUAUUUCCGGCCUGGCCGUGGUGGCUGAGGCCUAUGUACAAGUGGUUCUGCGAGACUCUGCGUUCUUGGGUAUCGUCCCCUUCCUCUUGUCACCGGGAUGUGGAGCCUUCGUUACCUCGACCGCGGAAGAGACGGUAUCGCAGUUCUCAGUCCUGUGUAGAAGAGCCUGACCAGGAGCAAGCAAAAAGACAAAAACUUGAUAUUUUUGGUCUACUAACUCAAGGACUUGCCAGUCUGAUUAAGAUACCAUCCCAUUUAACAGCUAAAUAUCUUCAAGUUGGAGAUCAAUAUGCUGAAACUACAAAAGAGUUUCUUUCAAAUGCUUCUGAUGCCUUGGCUGACAAGCAGAUGCAGCCUAACUCUGAGAUGCAGUUGUGUAACUUUGAUAAAAAAGCAAGUUAUGGUACCUGUAUUCAUCCAGAUGUAGCAUCUGACUCUCGUAUUCCUGUGACUUAUAUGAGAGAUGACUUUAGUUUCAAAAACAUUAAUAAGAAAACUCAUAAUGUGCUUCAAGAGGAUUUGCGGCCAUGGAGGCAUAUUACUCACAGACAUUCAUUAGAAGCUUCUGCUUUAGAGACUGGAAGGUAUCUAAGGAAACCUCAUUCUACCGUGGAAGAGGGAGUUCAGAGACUGGAGCAAGAGAAAUACAAAGAACUACUUAAGCAAGAAAAAGAAAAGAGUCUUAAAAUUCACCCUUCUGGUGCAGUAGCAAAAUACCAUAAUGUCCAAGAUUAUGCCACUGGAUCCUUAAAGUUUGAUCUCAUCCCUUCAUCUGAAAUGCCAAGAAAUGGAAUCAAGAACUUCGGUCACUUGGGCUCUAAAAAUGAUAUCAGCAAGUCAAUAACAAUAGCAAAAAGAAUAACAGAACAUGAAAAGGUAUUUGAACAGAAAAAAGAGAGGUCAGUGCAGCCAUUGAUGGGAAAUGAUCUAUCAGAAGAAGUAUCACUUAGAUUAAGCUUGGUCCAGAAAGAAUUAUCAUGCAGAAGACAUUCUCUGGCUGAAAUAAGAGAAAAGUAUCGGAGUUUGGAAAAAGCUACAGAGUGCUUCCCUGAGUUUACAAAGGAUAUGGAAAAAGAGAUAACAAAUGCUCUGAGCUAUGGUCAGGAUGAUGAAAUUUUGACUAGCGCCUUCAAGCUGAAUAUUACACGAAGAGACAUUCAAACGUUAAGAAACCAGCAGUGGCUCAAUGAUGUGGUCAUUAAUUUCUAUAUGAAUCUUCUGGUUGAGAGAAAUAAAAUGCCGGGAUUUCCAGUACUUUACGCGUUCAGUACUUUCUUCUAUUCCAAGCUAAGUUCUAUGGGUUAUAAUGCAGUAAAAAGAUGGACCAAAGAAGUUGACUUAUUCCAGCAUGACAUAAUCUUGGUGCCUAUUCAUAUCAGACUACAUUGGGCAUUAGCGGUUAUAGAUUUGAGGAGAAAAACUAUCAAAUAUUUUGAUUCAAUGGGACAAAAUGGCACCAGGAUCUGCAUGAGAUUGUUACAAUAUCUGCAAGAGGAAAGUAAAGCGAAGAAAAACCUGGAUAUUAAUAUUUCAUCUUGGACACUUUACAGUAUGAAGCCUCAUAUUCAGCAGAAGAAGCAUGCUUAUGGGUCCUGUAUGGGAGCUGCAUUUGGAAAUUCCUCAGCAAUUAAAUGGAAGUGACUGUGGAAUGUUUACUUGCAAGUUUGCAGACUUUGUCUCUAGGGAUAAACCCAUUGCAUUUACACAGUUUCACAUGCCUUAUUAUCGAAAAAAAAUGGUAUGGGAGAUUCUUCAUCAGCAGUUGCUUUGAUGCCAGACCGCUGUUAUGAUUCAUGUGCUAUAAAACACCAUCCAGUUAUACAGUUGACUUGUACCCAUUUAAAGGCAAAGGUUUGAAAUACCCUCUUCUGGCUAAGUUCCAUUUCAGAGAUGGGAGUUAUCCAGAAGUAUAGUAGAAGCUUUUCAUUGAAGCUUGCUUUCUUGAAGUUUUCUUUCCAAGAAAAAAAUAUGGCAGCAGGCAGGAAUAAAAAAAGUAUUUUUAAGUAGACUAAUGCUGAGUUUUUGGAUGAAUAUGACCUAUGUGACAUAUAAAAAAGAAAUAUACAUAUAUUGCAAUUUUCCAAAGAAUGCCAGGUUGUCUAUGGUUUCAAUGCCCUGAUUGGAUUCAAACUUAGUACUGCUUAUAAGUAAUGCAAUUGUAAUUGUAGCUGAUUUUAUCCCAUUAAUUUUAACUGAUCUACUCAAACCAAAAUACAAUUAGGACUCGCCCUUUGAUUAUAAGCAAAAAGCAUGCCUUUUGAGUUUUAUUUUUGAAGUUUUAUUGUAUACUUCUGUUGGGAGAUUUGGUCUGGAAUCUAUGACUGUAUUUUGCAAGCAGUGAAAGGAGUGUGCUUACCCAUAGUAUGUUCCUGAGUUUAUAUUUUCAUAUAACUGGAUCUUAGUGAUGCUGAAAAAUGGAAAAUUCUGUUUGAUUUGUAACAAAUCCAUUGUAAAAACCCUAGGUGGGAAUUAUUCUUUAUUUAAAAAUUAAACUGUUGUAUGAGACUAUUUAUUUGUAUUCUUGAAUGUGUUGGAUAUAUGUUGGAAUUUCAAGAUAGUUUAACUAAAAUGGAAAUAAACAUCUAGUAAAAA